CUUACAUAGUACGAUGCAUCGUGACACUGCGUCAGUGUUUCCCAAAACCAUAGUAGCAACUAACGUUCGCAACCACUAUCGUAAAGUUGUGUAGUUACAGCUACACCUCUCGACCUGUAGUAUGUAGUAAGAACCAUAGUAGACGACGUAACCCUGAUGACGGAACACGCAGAGGACAGAUGGAUGAGAGGUAGCCAUUAAACGAUCCCAUAACAUUGCUGUGGGAUACCAUACCAUAGCAUUGCUGGAAUCUACAAUUGCACAUUACUGUGGUACAGUGGAAAGUGAAGUGUUAUGGAGUUAGCCUACAACAGAGCGGCCUGUGGUGAAGUGCUAUGGUGACCGCAAUCAUCUGUGUUGUUAUUAUUCGUGAAUUUACAUGUAGCCUAAUGCUAAUGUGUCAGCACAGAUUCUUUCGAACACCCGUUAAGUUAAGUUAUCUGGUGAUAAAGCUUUUGAAUGCCAACGGUAUUGUUAUGUGAGGCUAGCAUUGUAAUUGUUAUAAAAGGAUAACGUUACAUUGUAGUCGUAUGUUAAGUGUGUUUGGAUGAAGCAUCUGCUAAUCAUACACAUAGCUAACGGUAUAUGGACUCUACAGCCCAUUAUGAUGUGGUGAAGUGACUGUGCUGUGGCAGAGACUGUAGCGUGUGUGCUUUACAUGAGAGAGGUCAGGGGUUCAAGACUGAGUCGAUGGGUGUGAGGUAUGGGUAGGCCUGUCAUGGGAGGCGGAAAAAUGGCCAGCAGGAAGGUGUGCAGCAGCCACUGGAAUGACCUCUUCCACCUCCUCCACUAACAGCUCCUCAUCAGCCGGCAGUGGGAUGUGAUCCUGAAGGGCCAUGUUGCAGAAGCGCCGCCACCAAAACUACACUGCACACCUUUGCAGGAUGGAGCUUCAGGCCACCAGCGGAUUUGCUCACACACCUUU